rnacentral:rRNA from 1 species
UACGUAGGGUGCAAGCGUUAUUCGGAAUUACUGGGCGUAAAGCGUGCGCAGGCGGCUUUGCAAGACAGAUGUGAAAUCCCCGGGCUUAACCUGGGAACUGCAUUUGUGACUGCAUGGCUCGAGUGCGGCAGAGGGGGAUGGAAUUCCGCGUGUAGCAGUGAAAUGCGUAGAUAUGCGGAGGAACACCGAUGGCGAAGGCAAGCCCCUGGGCCUGCACUGACGCUCAUGCACGAAAGCGUGGGGAGCAAACAGG